rnacentral:piRNA from 1 species
UUGUGGUGAUUGGAGCGCGAGGCGUCA